rnacentral:rRNA from 1 species
UGGGGGAUAUUGCACAAUGGGCGCAAGCCUGAUGCAGCGACGCCGCGUGGGGGAUGAAGGCCUUCGGGUUGUAAACUUCUUUUGCUCUGAACAAGGCGCACUUUGGGGUGUGUUGAGUGUAGGGGUUGAUUAGCGCCGGCUAACUACGUGCCAGCAGCCGCGGUAAUACGUAGGGCGCGAGCGUUGUCCGGAAUUAUUGGGCGUAAAGGGCUUGUAGGUGGCUGGUUGCGUCUGUCGUGAAAGCUCAUGGCUUAACUGUGGGUUUGCGGUGGGUACGGGCUGGCUUGAGUGCAGUAGGGGAGGCUGGAAUUCCUGGUGUAGCGGUGGAAUGCGCAGAUAUCAGGAGGAAUACCGGUGGCGAAGGCGGGUCUCUGGGCUGUUACUGACACUGAGGAGCGAAAGCAGGGGGAGCGAACAGG